AGGAUCAUUAUUGAAUAAACUUGGUUGAGUUGCUGCUGGCUCUUUGGAGUAAUGUGCACGCUCAUUCCAUCUUUAACCACCUGUGCACCUUGUGUAGAUCCAAAUGCUUGAGAGCGAUUAACAUUGCUGUCUUUGUAUUUAGGUCUAUGUUUUUUAUACACCCCAAAAAUGUAUCAGAAUGAUGUGAACAGGCCUUAUGUGGCUUUACAAAUUAAAACAACUUUCAACAACGGAUCUCUUGGCUCUCGCAUCGAUGAAGAACGCAGCGAAAUGCGAUAAGUAAUGUGAAUUGCAGAAUUCAGUGAAUCAUCGAAUCUUUGAACGCACCUUGCGCUCCUUGGUAUUCCGAGGAGCAUGCCUGUUUGAGUGUCAUGAAAUUCUCAACCUGUCUCUCUUUUAUUAAAGAAAUACAGGCUUGGAUUUGGAGGUUUUGCUGGCUUCCCAGAAACCGGCUCCUCUUAAAUGUAUUAGCAGGAACCAUUGCUGAUUUUUCUUAGUAUGAUAACUAUCUAUACUACGGAGAAUCAGUUUCCUUAAUUGGAGGGCUUCGCUUCUAAUAGUCUUACCAGACAAUUCUUGACAAUUUUGACCUCAAAUCAGGUAGGACUACCCGCUGAACUUAAGCAUAUCAAUAAGCGGAGGAAAAGAAACUAACAAGGAUUCCCCUAGUAACUGCGAGUGAAGCGGGAAAAGCUCAAAUUUAAAAUCUGGUAGUCUUUGGCUGCCCGAGUUGUAAUCUAGAGAAGCGUUAUCCGCGCUGGACCGUGUAUAAGUCUCCUGGAAUGGAGCGUCAUAGAGGGUGAGAAUCCCGUCUUUGACACGGACUACCAGGGCUUUGUGAUGCGCUCUCAAAGAGUCGAGUUGUUUGGGAAUGCAGCUCUAAAUGGGUGGUAAAUUCCAUCUAAAGCUAAAUAUUGGCGAGAGACCGAUAGCGAACAAGUACCGUGAGGGAAAGAUGAAAAGAACUUUGGAAAGAGAGUUAAAUAGUACGUGAAAUUGUUGAAAGGGAAACGCUUGAAGUCAGUCGCGUUGACCAGGGAUCAACCUUGCUUUUGCUUGGUGCACUUCCUGAUUAACGGGUCAGCAUCAAUUUUGACCAGUGGAGAAAGGUCAGGGGAAUGUGGCAUCUUCGGAUGUGUUUAUAGCCUUUGGUCGUAUACAUUGGUUGGGAUUGAGGAACUCAGCACGCCGCAAGGCCGGGUUUUAAACCACGUUCGUGCU
rnacentral:rRNA from 1 species